UACAAAUUUUGCCCCACGUUAAUCUUCUCUCGUUAAGUACAUACUUAGAUAAUAGACAAUUUAUUCAACACAUAUUAUUUAAUUCGCAAUUAUCCUACGUUCCUAAAAUUUUAAAGAUAAUAAUCCUCCAAAUCAAUCAAUAUUUCACGUGUUUAAAUAAUUACUUAAAUAAUUAUUUUCCAAACAGCAUCACUCUUAGAAAACUGGUAUUAAAUCAUUACUGACCAGAGUAUUUACAUAUGACUCUAACCGGCGAGAAUUACGGUUUUUCAUUACCACGACAUUUUUAGUAAUGUCGUGGUAAUGAAAAACUUACCACUCAGAAACAAACUAGUACCAAUCCGGUAAGAAGUUAAAUAUUACUAAAUUAAGAUCAGUACGGAGUAUCUUAAGUAUGGAGACUUGACCAGAUUUUUAACAAUGCACGAAUGUAUGUAACAUAUAAAUUCGAACCAAAAUACUUACUUUUAUCACAUUUAUGAAUUUCAAAAAUGCAAUUUAAACAACCUCUAAUUUUGGUGGUGCUCCUGACCUCGUCCUUUCUCAUUUUAUCCAUUCCUUUCUGGAUUUUCGACCUCAAUAACGACACUAGCAUCGUGCCUCGAUGCGAUUUGAACCCUUCAGUGGAAAAUAUAACGGAAGAAGUUAAAAAACGGAACGGGCAAAAUUUCACGUAUCCCGACCUUUUGCAGUUAUACGGAGAAAUCACGAAAUAUUUUGACAAUAGGAAUUUCUCCGAUUAUAACGACCUCAUCCCGUAUAUCGUGUACAACUCGACGUUCUACGAUCUUAUGCAGUUCACUGAGAUGAUGAUUUAUUAUACGUGCAUUAAUAACACAAAGGAACAGUUAAUGUUCUUGGUGAAAAUGGACGAGUUGUAUCCGGAAUUUUAUUCUUACUGGAAAAGCAAGGGGGAAAAAUACAAUGAUCCUAAAAAACCCUUGGAACAAGUCAGGCUGUAUUAUCAAAUCCUCCUCGUCAAUUACAGCGUCCAGAGUGUAUUUGCGAUAAUGAUCGCAACGACAUAUCUCCUUUUGUGGGAGCGCCACUCCCUUCACGGCUACCUCCAGUUGUGCUACGUCCUUGUGGAAGCCGUCCACAGAACUGGGAGACUUAUCUAUGUCGCAUACUUUGCCAAUGAUAAAGGUCUCGGAAACCAAUAUAUUUACAGCGCGAAAUAUUUGACGAGAUGUGCCAAAUUUGAUACAUUUUUCGGGUACAUCCACACCUCGAGACAACUAUGGCUAACGAUUUUGGUGUUCGACUUGUGGAAAACGUUCGGAAGAAGGAUUUCUCUCCCAGGAAAUAGAAAAUUAAAAUUUGUCAAAUAUUUUGGUUUCGCCGUUCUAUCGCCAGCGGUAUACAUCUGUGCCGGAUUGAUAUUACAAGUUUCGGUGUGGGGCUACGAUUGUUACCACCUUCUUGACCGGAAUAAGGUUGCGUUUCAAAUUUUGAGAAAUACACCUUCUGUAUUUUUCUUCGGCUGCAACUUAUUUUUCGUCAUUUCUUGCUACCGGAAAUCUAAGGUGAUGCAAAAAGAGGGAGAAUUUGCGCAAAGAAACGUGACCAGUCGGACGGACAGCAGCAGCAGGCUUCGUCUUUACAUCAAGCUUCUCCUCGUGGUUUCCGAUUUUGCAUCCCAAUAAUCGACGAGAUCCUUGAUUUAGUUGACAUCAGUCCCGGCUCCUCUUAUGGUUCAAUUAUUCUCAACAAUGUCUCCAUUUGUCACAGCUUUUUCUUAUUUUUGGUCCUAAUGCGGCACGGACAGACGAAGCUUGGGCUGAAAGAAGUUGUCGUUCUGGAAGAGGGAAAACUGCUAAGAAACGCGGAAUUUCUAUUUGAGAAUGCGUCAACUGGGAAGCUCGCGUUGGUUGCCUUUUAUCAAUUAAAAUGUGGCUGGAACUUACUCAAAAUUCGAAUUGUUCUUGCCUUGAUAAAAUUAACAAUUAUUUGUAGAAACAUAACUUGUAAGGGGAGGUUGUGUAGAUGUUUUUAACAUUUUCAAUCCAUUACAAAAGCUAGUGCUACAUAUGUAAAUAAAUACUUUUUCUUGUAAUGGGUUUCGGUGGGGAUUGAUUAAAUAAUAUCUGCGCCAUACAUUUGCAUAAACACAUUGUGCACAAUAUUUAAAUCAUAUCUCACAAUCUUGUCUCCCUUCUUUAUGUAAUUGCAAAUUUGAGUCC